rnacentral:rRNA from 1 species
AUCUUGGUCAGGACGAACGCUGGCGGCAUGCCUAACACAUGCAAGUCGAACGGAGUAAUGACUUCGGUUAUUACUUAGUGGCGAACGGGUGAGUAACGCGUGAAUAAUCUGCCCUGUACGAUGGGGUAACAGCUGGAAACGGCUGCUAAUACCGUAUAUGACCACGCCGAGGCAUCUCGGAGGGGUGAAAGCGCUUAAGCGGUACAGGAUGAGUUCGCGUCCAAUUAGCUAGUUGGUGAGGUAACGGCCCACCAAGGCGACGAUUGGUAGCCGACCUGAGAGGGUGAUCGGCCACACUGGAACUGAGACACGGUCCAGACUCCUACGGGAGGCAGCAGUGGGGAAUAUUGGGCAAUGGAGGAAACUCUUACCCAGCCAAUGCCGCGUGAGUGAUGAAGGUCUUCGGAUUGUAAAGCUCUUUGAUUGGGGACGAAUAAAUGACGGUACCCAAGGAACAAGCCCCGGCUAACUAUGUGCCAGCAGCGGC